CGUUUAUCAGCGGAUUGAUAAGGUUUGGAAUUAUUAAAAAAGUUUGUCAUCCCUAGCCCAAUUAACCAUUGUAUUAUAAAAUGAUAUAGGGCAACCUCUCCAUUGACAACAUUUAGACGAGCUUUAGUAGCUGAUAUCUGCAUAUGCAUCAGUUUAAAAGGCCUCUUUAAAAAAAAAAAAUACAAGAAGACGGGGUAUUAUUGCUAAUGAGACAACGUUCCACCAGAGAUCGAACGACGUAGAAGUUAAGAACUAUUGGUCACAAUAAAAUAUAUAAGCAAAAACCAUAGCGCAUAGUAAGUUAAAAGAAGCCACAAAAUGAUUAAUGUAAAACAAUUCAAACGAGGAAACUUACAACCUGAUUUGUGUGCAAAACAAUGAACGAAGAACAGAUAUGAUAAACAACAACAAACACAACCACUGAAUUACAGGCCCCUGACUGGAGACAGACACGAACAGAAUAUGGAGUGUUUAAACAUUUCAAAACAUGUUUGCUUAUGCCAAAUCGUGAGUAGCAAAACAUUAUAAAAGCAAACUAAAACAACCAGUGUACUUAUAUGAUCGAUAUAAAGCACGUAUUACAAUAUAACAAAAUAACAAAAGACACACUUUACAGAUACAAG
rnacentral:lncRNA from 1 species